GACGGAGGGGGCAAGCGUUGCUCGGAAUCACUGGGCGUAAAGGGCGCGUAGGCGGGAUGGCAAGUCAGUCGUGAAAUCUCUCGGCUCAACCGAGAAACGUCGGCUGAUACUGCCGUUCUUGAGGGAUGCAGAGGAGACUGGAAUUCCCGGUGUAGCGGUGAAAUGCGUAGAUAUCUGGAGGAACACCGGUGGCGAAGGCGGCAUCCUGGACCGGCAUUGACGCUGAGGAGCGAAAAGCCAGGGGAGCAAAGCGGG
rnacentral:rRNA from 1 species